UACGUAGGGGGCUAGCGUUGUCCGGAAUCAUUGGGCGUAAAGAGCGUGUAGGCGGUCCGGUAAGUCCGCUGUGAAAGUCGGGGGCUCAACCCUCGAAUGCCGGUGGAUACUGUCGGGCUUGAGUACGGAAGAGGCGAGUGGAAUUCCUGGUGUAGCGGUGAAAUGCGCAGAUAUCAGGAGGAACACCAAUUGCGAAGGCAGCUCGCUGGGACGUUACUGACGCUGAGACGCGAAAGCGUGGGGAGCAAACCGG
rnacentral:rRNA from 1 species